rnacentral:lncRNA from 1 species
AUCCGAGGUGGUUAUCGGUGGUUGGCGGUGGUUGGAGGUCGACGCGGAGGAGGAUGAGGGAGAUGAGGAGAACGAGGUGGACGCGGAGGACGAGGAUUUGUGCUCGGUAUAACCCGAGGUGGUUAGCAGUGGUCGUUGGAGGUAGUUAGCGGUGGAUGAAGGCAGUCGAGCUGAACGAGGAGGAGGACGAGGAAGACGAGGAGAACACGGUGGAAGAGGAGAACGAGGAUUUGUGCUCGUAUUUGACAACAGUGAUACCUUAUCACAUGGACAGUGGCCCAACUGAUAAUCAAGCUUUACAAGUCCUCAUUAAGAUAUAAAAGGAUAUUAAUGAGGAUAGUCCAACGGUGCCCACAUUAUUAACGGACUACAUAUUGAAAGUUCUGUGCCCCACCUAGUGAUCCACUAGUACAUAUCCUCCGACGUGACAUCGCUGUGCUACGUAUAAAAAAGAAAAGAUUUAUUAAGAUGUAGAUUGCUCCUCUCUUGCCAUUGUGCUUUCAGACAUUGUUGUGGUGUGUGUUUAAAAUUAGGGACAGUAUAUAAUAUAGAAUAACAGGUACAGCUACGAAUAUAGCACUACAAUAAAUCUUAUAGAAAUGAGCCCUCAUUGAGAUUUCUCUGUAUUUAU